rnacentral:misc_RNA from 1 species
UUCACGUUUUUUGAAUUUGAAUAUUGAAAUUUUUUGUAGUUACAAGUAAAAAAUUUUAUUAUUUAUUUGGAGAUAUCGAAUUUGAAUAUCGAAAUUUUCGAUUUGAUUUUGUAGUACGAUGGCGGAUCGAGUAUAUCCUAUGGAUUUACCAUCAUCAUCAAGUAAUCCACCGUCUUCAAACAACUCCGGCGAAGUAGUUUCACCGAAAAAACCAUCAUUUCCAUCUCCGGCGAAACCUAUACAACCUCCGGCGGGGACUUACGUAGUUCAAGUUCCGAAGGAUCAAAUUUACAAGUAUCCUCCACCGGAGAAUUCUCGCCGGUAUGAGUCGCUUACUAAACGGAAACCUCGCCGGAGCUGCUGCUGUCGUUGUCUCUGCUUCACUUUCUCUGUUCUACUUUUUCUCAUUAUAUCAAUCGGAAUCACCGCCGGAGUUCUCUUCCUUGUUUACCGUCCUGAAGCACCAAAAUACACCAUUUCCAGCAUCGCGAUUAAGAAUUUCAACGUCACGUCGUCGUCUAAGAUCUCGCCGGAGUUUGACAUUUCUGUCAGAUCUGAAAACCCGAAUAACAAAUUAGGGAUUUACUACCGGAAAGGAAGUUCUGUUACAGUGGUUUACUCCGGCGUGGAUCUAUCCGCCGGUGUAUUGCCGGCGUUUUAUCAGCCGGUGAAUAAUGUAACGGUUUUUCAAACGGCGUUAAAGGGUUCAAACGUUAUACUUGGAAACGCCGUUAAAUCGACGUUGAGAAAUGAACAGAGAAAAGGGAAAGUGCCGUUUAGAGUGAAUAUUAAAGCGCCGGUUAAGAUUAAGAUUGGGGCCGUUAAGACGUGGGAAGUUAUCGUUAAAGUUAAGUGUGAUUUAACGGUGGAUGUUUUGACCGUUAAGUCGAAAUUGGUAUCUAAAGAUUGUGAUUAUAGUGUGAGGCUUUGGUAGAGGGUUUAAG